rnacentral:pre_miRNA from 1 species
CAUUUACUCCCUUCGUCCCAAAAUUCUUGCCUUAGAUUUGUUUAGAUAUGAACGUAUCUAGUCAAGUUUUAGUAUUUAGAUACAUCCAUUUCUAAACAAAGUUAAGACAAGAAUUUUGGGACGGAGGGAGUACUAU